CUGGGACCAGGCAGUGCUGUACUUGGCAGACUGUACAUGCUACAAUGUGCAAGACACAGGUUCAAGCCCCUGGUCUUCUCCUGCAUGGAGGGGAAGGAGGAGGAGCUUCACAAGCGGUAAGGAAGAAGAAAAUGGACAUUUAAUUGUGGCCACAAUGUCCUAAUGAGAAACAUAAGCUUGGAAUCAUAUCUCGGCUUCGAGCCACUGAAGCAGAUGUACAAUUUUAAAGAAUUUAAAAGAAUUCAUCACAGCUGCGAGAAUGUAGUCUAUGGACAUUCCCAUUUAAGCAACUAUUAAUGCAAUUGACUCAGCUAAUUUGACUUGUUUGGUAAGAAAAUACCCAUGUAGAUGUGAACAGAAGAGGAAUGCUCAAAUCUGUCCAAGAAUAAAGACAACAGCAGGGACAUUCACUGAUACACC